rnacentral:rRNA from 1 species
CAGCCGCCGCGGGAACACGAAGGGUGCAAGCGUUAAUCGGAAUUACUGGGCGUAAAGCGUGCGUAGGCGGUUUGUUAAGUCUGUUGUGAAAUCCCCGGGCUCAACCUGGGAAUGGCAAUGGAUACUGGCAAGCUAGAGUGUGUCAGAGGAUGGUGGAAUUCCCGGUGUAGCGGUGAAAUGCGUAGAGAUCGGGAGGAACAUCAGUGGCGAAGGCGGCCAUCUGGGACAACACUGACGCUGAGGCACGAAAGCGUGGGGAACAAACAGGAUUAGAUACCCGUGUAGUCCCUGUAUCUUAUAC